ensembl:miRNA Mir672 microRNA 672
CCUUUAGUUUUGAGGUUGGUGUACUGUGUGUGAGUAUACAUAUUUAUCACACACAGUCGCCAUCUUCGAAAGUGAGGGUG